rnacentral:rRNA from 1 species
AACCUUCCGUAAGGAGAAGGGCGGCCAUAGAAGAUGGCGUUGAUGGAAUGGAGGUGUAAUCAUCAAGCCUUCGGGCGAGAUGUUCAGCCUGCCAUCACCAAUAGCCCAACGCACCUGUUGA